UUGUUUUUUGAUUGACAUCUCGUCCAGGACGUGCGUACACAUCCUCUCCACAGGGGUCAUGGUGGCGGCGAUGACUCCCAUUUGGGAGAUGAUUCCCUGUAGGAAGCCAGGCUGUCAGGAAAUAAAAGUUGUGCCCUAAUGAAGUUCCGGCAGCCCUCAGGACACCUCUGGAGCAUCUCCUCCAUAAUUUCAUGGGGACUACGAAAGAACAAGAGGUGGGGAGGCAAGUGGUGGCGGGUUGUCGCAAUCCACCAGUGUGGGGAUGGCAUCUCUGUUGGAUCUUGAUGCUGUGGCAACGGACAAGUCUUCUUCCUCUUUUAUUAUAUUGUUGUUCCUCUGUCCUUUUUUCCCUGCCUAUGUUCAGUGUUCAGUUCUCUUUUUUUUUUUUUUAUUAUUUACUAUGUUACUGUUCUUAUUGUGUUCUUGUGUGAUGUUUGAAUAAACUUGCCUGCAAUGUUGGUAUGUUUGUAUAAUUACUGUUAUACAACUGUUACUGUUUCAACGUGUCCUAGACCAUACUUCUCAUUUAACAAACAUGUGUAGCUUAUAAUGUGUUGCAGGGCAGAGCAAUUAUAUUCAAUGGCUUAAAACAAACCCAUCUGUAAAGAUCACUGAAUGCAUAGAAAUCAAUCAAUCAAAGUGGUGUAGAUGGUUUUCCCUCUGUGCAAGGU